ensembl:snRNA U4 U4 spliceosomal RNA
AGCUUUGCGCAGUGGCAGUAUCGUAGCCAAUGAGGUUUAUCCGAGGCGCGAUUAUUGCUAAUUGAAAAAAGCACUUUUCCAUCAAUUCUGUCACGUUUAAGAUGAAUUUUCCAAAGGGAGUAAGACGGUCUCCUGACAUUCUUAUUCCAGGAAGUCUUUCAGAUUUUCCACAAAG